AACCAGCAUUAUGGUUAUGAUUUUCUUGGAUUAUUUUAAGUUUCAUUGCACUUUCCUGCUUUUUAAUGUAGACCAGUCAUGGGUCAAGGUUGGAAUUUAUUUAUGUAUCUCUCUAUCUGUGUAUUGAAAAAAUUCACUUACUUGCCCCUACUAAGUCCCCAGGUGAAACAAUUCACCAUCCCAGGAUCUUUGCAUCUAGACUUGCUUGAGGAAGAAAAAACUAAAUUUAUUAAUUCUUUGAAAGGUUAGAAUCUUAUGACCUCAGUUUUAUGUUAUAGGAAAGUUCAGUCAAAUGCCCCUUGUGUUUAUUUUUUUAAGUUUCUGAGUGAAUGUAUAUUUCUAGAUGUUUAGAGAUUGGCAGCCCUGGAAAAUUAAGUUUAUUUAUCCCCAAGAUAUGUAUCGGACAAACAGCUGCAAACUGCUUUCCCUCAGAAUGGAGCUGGUUCAUUCAACUCUGGCCUAGAAGGACCACCCUCCCUGAAACUGAAGGUAAAACUGAAUUGUUAUGAGGCUUGUGAAUAAGAUACCUGUCUUAGAGAUGCCCCAAAUCACAGGACUGAAGAUCAGUCUCCAGAUCUCCUAACUCCAGGGCUGAUGGAUUUUCCUGCUGUACUAUAUUACCUCUAAAACAGAGAUUCUUAACCUAUAGUCUAUAAACUCCCCAAAGAAUCGAUUUCAGGUAUCUGCAAACUUGGAUGGGAAAAUAAAAAUUGCAUCUUUAUUUUUACUAAACUUUAAUUGUAGGAUUUCCAUCCAUUAUAAUUUUAGGUAAGAAAUAUGAAUUAUGAGAAGUGUACUCUAGUUUCACCAGACUGCCAAAAAGGUUUCUGACACAACAAAGACUGAGAACCCUGGAACUAAAAGCUUUAGGAAAAUAAAUUGGUAUGGGGGAGGAACUGAUGGUAGAGAGAAAUUGAUGGGAAGACAGGUAGUCCCAGACAGAAAUAAUAAGAACCUGUGGUUACGAGAGUGGCAAUGGGAAUAGAAAGGAAUGAUCAGAUACAGGAAAUAUUUCAAAACCAGAGUUGGGGACUGAUUAGAUGAGAAAGGAAAGUGAGUGGAGAAAUCACAGAUCAAUAUGGUAGAACCAUUUGAAAGAAUUAGGAAAUCCUGAAAAGAAAACGGCUGUGGAAGAGAGAAUGGAGAAGAGAAAGCUGGAUGCAUUGUGUUUGAAGCAUUGGCAGGAUAGCCAGGUGCAGAUGUCCAGCACGGAGCCAGAAAUAUGAGUCUGACUUUUCGGGGAAGCUCUCAAGCAUCAGCCCCUCAAGGCAAACCAACAACCCAAGUCAGCUCAGGUAUCUUGUUGCAGCUGGCUCUCUUCCACCUUUCUAAUCGUGCUUGUGAUCAUCUGUGGAUUCAAUAUUCAAGACUGAAGCAGUUUCAAAAGCAUUCCAUCCGAGAUGUGCUUUUGAAAGCAUCUUAUUUCCUGCUGAAGGCAAGCCCUAACAUUGUCAGCUAAUUGCCUUCGUGGCAGUAGGGAGGACGCCUAACCUUUGACUAGAGAAGCCUUGAUUCACACCCAGGUGAGCCAGUAUGGGACUGCCGCUCACGGGCUGGGCGCACGGGAGAAGGAAGCACCCUUUUUGUGCGGGUCCGUGAACGCUCUUGGAGUGUGCCGACCACUAGAGGGCGUUGACAGACGCGAGCGCAGCCCCAGUGUAGCUGGGGACAAACUAGUAGCAGAAGGAACAAAGGGGGAGCUUUGGAAAUGUAGCUGGGUUAUGUUUUACCUGUGCAAACAUGUCUCUCCCUCUAUUUUAUCCUCAGAGCCUUCUGCUGCCGCACGUUCACUCUGGGACGAGUUCGUUUUGCACAACUAUUCGUUGCUCCCAGCAACUGGUGCAAAAAUAACAGAUUUCGGAGAGAAAAAAAAACCACAACACUGAAAACAAACAAACCAAACAAAAAAUCACUAUUUCUCUCUGUUAUCCAUUUGCUACACUUGAAUCUGCCAGGGGAUAGCGUCUCUUUAAUGAUUGAACGAUUUCAUUUAAUGAAAUAUAUCUUUAUUCUGCCAAAAUUAAAGAAAUAAUCUCUUAUUUGUUAAAUCAAACUUCGUCAUAUUGAGAUGCAGCCAUCUCAUUUUCUGGAUGCUCUGCUAAAAUCCAAACAGCACUAGAUUUGUAGGCAGAAAGUCAUGGGUCUUAGCAAUGGAGAGGCUUUCCAAUCUCUAUGACUCCUUUUACUGACAAUAAUAACAGUUGUGCCCCGAUUCCUUGUAACUCCAUUUGGGGUUGGAAAAGACCACUGGAAUAGUUUGCCAUUUUCUUCUCCCACACAUUUUACAGAUGGGGAAACUGAGACAAACAGGGUGAAGUGACUUGGCUAGGGUCAUACCACUAGUAUGUAUCAGAAAGAUGAGUUUUCCUGAUUCCAGGCUCAGCAUCCUAUCCACUGAGCCAUCUGGCUGCCCAUGAUGGGGAUUAUAAUAAUAGUAUUUAUAAUGUUUUAAGAUUUGCAAAGUGCUUUAUAUAUAAUAUCUUCUUUGAUUCUCCCAAUACUGCUGUGAAAUAAGUGAUAUUGCUAUCCCCAUUUUAUAGAUAAAGAAAUUGAGGAGGAGAGAAAUUAAGUGACUUGGUGAGGUCACACUGUUAGAGGCAGGAUUAAAACUCAAUAUCUUUCUGACUCCAAUUCCCCUUCUCUGAGUUCAAUUCAUUCUGACUUUUUUGGAUAAGGCUACUAAAAUCUAGGCUAAGGAGUUCAGGAGGUGCCCAAGACACAUAAAUCAUAAGUGUUUGGAAACUGGAUUGAUUCCCACAAAUCCUCUGAGUGUAAACCUAAUACCAUGCUUCCUUUCCCUGGACAUGAAGGCUACCUCUGACAUUAACUCCCCUGAAUCUUGUAUAUGAAGUAGAGAUGAUAAUAUUAGCCCUAUCAAUCCCCCAAGGUCGAUAUAAUGGAAUGUGUCUUUAGAGAUACAGUGCUAUAUAAAUCUGUGUUGGCAGUAUUAGAAUUAUUAGAAACCCCUAUAAACUGUUGCACUUAGAAAAUGUCUAAAGCAGGCUAAAUUAAAAGUCAUUAUACACACAUAUAUGUGGGAAUAUAUGUACAUAAACAUGCAUAUACACUCAUUGAGAAUUUAGUAUAGUAGUGGAAUAUUUUUGUUCCAUUAUUUCAGUCAUGUCCAACUCUAUGUGAGUCCAUUUGGGAUUUUCUUGACAAAGAUACUGGGAAUACUUUGCAAAUUCCUUCUCUAUUUCAUUCUGCAGGAGAGAAAACUGAGGCAAACAGAGUUGUGACUCAUUUAGAGUCACACAGCUUGUAAGCUUCUGAGGUUAGAUUUGAAUUCAGGAAAAGACAUCUUCCAGAUUCCAGGGUCAGCACUCUACUACACCACCUAUAUUCCAUAUUAUGCUGGGCAAUGUGUAUGAUGGAUGGAGAAGCAUGAGGUCCUGAGUUCAUGGAUCUUGCAAACUUGUUGGGAAGUAAUAUUCAUACAAAUAACUUCAAAUAACAGGUACUAUAUGCCUCCAAAUCUUAAUGAUGUUUUAAGAUUAAAGCUUAAUAAAUAAGUUUUAAUAGCUUAAAAUUAUAUUAAGACUUUUGUGACACAUUGUAUAAUUAAUGUUAUCACAUUCUUGUUUAUGAUGUAUAAUAAGUAUCAUUCAAGUGAGUGAUUUAAACAGUAAAGAUUAGAAAUGUCCAAGGAACACUGAUACAUUGUUGGUGGAAUUGUGAACACAUUCAGCCAUUCUGGAGAGCAAUUUGGAACUAUGCUCAAAAAGUUAUCAAACUGUGCAUACCCUUUGAUCCAGCAGUGUUUCUACUGGGCUUAUACCCCAAAGAGAUACUAAAGAAGGGAAAGGGACCUGUAUAUGCCAAACUGUUUGUGGCAGCCUUGUUUGUAGUGGCUAGAAGCUGGAAAAUGAAAGGAUGUCUAUCAAUUGGAGAAUGGUUGAGUAAAUUGUGGUAUAUGAACAUUAUGGAAUAUUAUUGUUCUGUAAGGAAUGACCAGCAGGAUGAAUACAGAGAGAACUGGCAAGAUUUACAUGAACUGAUGCUAAGUGAAAUGAGCAAAACCAGGAGAUCAUUAUAUACCUCAACAACGAUACUGUUUGAGGAUGUAUUCUGAUGGAAAUGGAUCUCUUCGAUGAAGAGAGCUAAUUCAGUUUCAAUUGAUCAAGGAUGGACAGAAGCAGCUACACCCAAAGAAAGAACACUGGGAAAUGAAUAUAAACUGCUUGCAUUUUUGUUUUUCUUCCUGGUUUAUUUAUACCUUCUGAAUCCAAUUCUCCCUGUGCAACAAGAAAACUGUUUGAUUCUGCACACAUAUAUUGUAUCUAGGAUAUACUGUAAACCUAUUCAACAUGUGAAGGACUGCUUGCCAUUUGGGGGAGGGGAUGGAGGGAGGGAGGGGAAAAAUCGGAGCAGAAGUGAGUGCAAGGGAUAAUGCUGUAAAAAUUACCCUGGCAUGGGUUCUAUCAAUAAAAACUUGUUAAAAAAAAAAGAGAAAUAUCCAAGGAAUAAAGAAAGCAUUGCAGCUGACUAGAGGGAUGCAGGAGGGUUGGGGAAUCAGGGAAGGCUUCAUAGAGAGGUUGGUCCUGAUUUAGGCCUUGAAGGAUGCAAAGAUAACAUUUGGGUAGGUUGCAAGGAGGGCAUUCUCAGCUGGGGAAACAGUACAUCAUUAAUCUCUUUUCAAUUGCUUGCACAGUACUGACUAAAAUAACAG